rnacentral:rRNA from 1 species
AGAGUUUGAUCCUGGCUCAGGAUGAACGCUGGCGGCGUGCCUAACACAUGCAAGUCGAACGAAGCGCCUUACCUGAUUCUUCGGAUGAAGGUCUGGUGACUGAGUGGCGGACGGGUGAGUAACGCGUGGGUAACCUGCCCUGUACAGGGGGAUAACAGUUGGAAACGGCUGCUAAUACCGCAUAAGCGCACGAGAGGACAUCCUCUUGUGUGAAAAACUCCGGUGGUACGGGAUGGGCCGCGCGUCUGAUUAGCUGGUUGGCAGGGUAACGGCCUACCAAGGCGACGCAUCAGUAGCCGGUCUGAGAGGAUGAACGGCCACAUUGGAACUGAGACACGGUCCAAACUCCUACGGGAGGCAGCAGUGGGGAAUAUUGCACAAUGGGGGAAACCCUGAUGCAGCAACGCCGCGUGAGUGAAGAAGUAUUUCGGUAUGUAAAGCUCUAUCAGCAGGGAAGAUAAUGACGGUACCUGACUAAGAAGCUCCGGCUAAAUACGUGCCAGCAGCCGCGGUAAUACGUAUGGAGCAAGCGUUAUCCGGAUUUACUGGGUGUAAAGGGUGCGUAGGUGGCAGUGCAAGUCAGAUGUGAAAGGCCGGGGCUCAACCCCGGAGCUGCAUUUGAAACUGCAUAGCUAGAGUACAGGAGAGGCAGGCGGAAUUCCUAGUGUAGCGGUGAAAUGCGUAGAUAUUAGGAGGAACACCAGUGGCGAAGGCGGCCUGCUGGACUGUUACUGACACUGAGGCACGAAAGCGUGGGGAGCAAACAAGAUUAGAUACCCUGGUAGUCCACGCCGUAAAC